rnacentral:lncRNA from 1 species
AAAGAUUAUUUUAGACAAUUAUCGAUCAGCUUUCAAUGUUUGGAUGCAAAAAAAGGAAAGCAGACUAGUGCUAUAUAUGCAACGAGCCAGCUUGCCAAGUUUUAUAUAAACAAUUUAGAGAAGACCAAAAAAUCAUAUAUAUUAAUUAUUCUUCUAAUGGACAACAAGAAAAAAGGAUAAACAAAAUAAAAAAGAAAUGAAAUAAAAUUGAAUGGAAGGAAACACCAAAGUUGUGAUAUUAUCUUGUUCUCUUUCAAGAAGAGUGGAAUGUUUCCUACCAAAAAAAAGAAAGAAGAGUGGAAUGUUCACUUACAGAAACACUCAUAAAGCAUUCAAUAAUUAGUAUAUCAUGCAAACAAAUAUAAGAAAAAAAUUCAUGUUGGUACGUACAUUAAAAUCUUAUCCCCAAU